ensembl:snoRNA small nucleolar RNA U85
GCCCAGUGACGAGAUCAUGGCAAGUGUGAGCUUGUCAGGCCAAGAGAUUGUUCUCUCUUGCCUGCUACUUGGUCGGUAGUCUUGGCAGUGUGGUGGAGUUUUGUUGCACUGCUGUAAGGGCCCACCUACAUGUAAUUUGUAGCUCUCUUCUCAGCCCCCCCCAACAGUAAUGGGAAAGGACAAGUCAGAGGCUUCAAACAGUGCGUGGGUGUUUUUUGUUGUGUGUCUUGUAUGAAUGUAUGUGUAUCAGCUGGCAAGAGGUUACAGUCUCUAAUGUGGAUGGCAUUUGACAGCUGUGAACUUAAAUCUUUGGUAAUCUGAGGGCG